rnacentral:rRNA from 1 species
GGGUUGUAAACUUCUUUUGUAAGGGAAUAAAGUGUAGUACGUGUACUAUUUUGCAUGUACCUUACGAAUAAGGAUCGGCUAACUCCGUGCCAGCAGCCGCGGUAAUACGGAGGAUCCGAGCGUUAUCCGGAUUUAUUGGGUUUAAAGGGUGCGCAGGCGGAAGAUUAAGUCGGCGGUGAAAUUUUGCAGCUCAACUGUAAAAGUGCCUUCGAAACUGGUUUUCUUGAGUGUAGAUGAAGUAGGCGGAAUUUGUGGUGUAGCGGUGAAAUGCAUAGAUAUCACGAGGAACUCCGAUUGCGCAGGCAGCUUACUAAACUACUACUGACGCUCAUGCACGAAGGCGUGGGGAUCAAACAGGAUUAGAUACCCUGGUAGUCCACGCAGUAAACGAUGAUUACUCGCUGUUUGCGAUACACUGUAAGCGGCCAAGCGAAAGCGUUAAGUAAUCCACCUGGGGAGUACGUUCGCAAGAAUGAAACUCAAAGGAAUUGACGGGGGCCCGCACAAGCGGAGGAACAUGUGGUUUAAUUCGAUGAUACGCGAGGAACCUUACCCGGGCUUGAAAUGCAUCUGACCGGCCGCGAAAACGGCCUUCCCUUCGGGGCAGAUGUGUAGGUGCUGCAUGGUUGUCGUCAGCUCGUGCCGUGAGGUGUCGGCUUAAGUGCCAUAACGAGCGCAACCCUCAUCAUUAGUUACUAACAGGUCAUGCUGAGGACUCUAAUGAGACUGCCAUCGUAAGAUGCGAGGAAGGUGGGGAUGACGUCAAAUCAGCACGGCCCUUACGUCCGGGGCGACACACGUGUUACAAUGGGUGGUACAAAGGGCAGCUACAUGGCGACAUGAUGCUAAUCUCCAAAACCACUCUCAGUUCGGAUCGGAGUCUGCAACUCGACUCCGUGAAGCUGGAUUCGCUAGUAAUCGCGCAUCAGCCACGGCGCGGUGAAUACGUUCCCGGGCCUUGUACACACCGCCCGUCAAGCCAUGGAAGC